rnacentral:rRNA from 1 species
UACGUAGGAGGCGAGCGUUGUCCGGAUUUACUGGGCGUAAAGCGCGCGCAGGCGGCAUGGCAAGUAAGGUGUGAAAUCUCCCUGCCUAACGGGGAGGGUGCACUUUAGACUGCCAAGCUAGCGGACGGUAGAGGGGGGUAGAAUUGCUGGUGUAGCGGUGAAAUGCGUAGAGAUCAGCAGGAAUACCCGUGGCGAAGGCGGCCCCCUGGGCCGAACCUGACGCUGAGGCGCGAAGGCUAGGGGAGCGAACGGG